AUUGAACGCUGGCGGCAGGCCUAACACAUGCAAGUCGAACGAGCGGCGGACGGGUGAGUAAUGUCUGGGAAACUGCCUGAUGGAGGGGGAUAACUACUGGAAACGGUAGCUAAUACCGCAUACCAUCGGAUGUGCCCAGAUGGGAUUAGCUAGUAGGUGGGGCAAAGGCUCACCUAGGCGAAGAUCCCUAGCUGGGCUGAGAGGAUGACCAGCCACACUGGAACGGAGACACGGGCCAGAGUCUUACGUGAGGGAGCAGUGGGGAAUAUUGCACGAUGGGCGCGAGCCUGAUGCAGCCAUGCCGCGUGUAUGAAGAAGGCCUUCGGGUUGUAAAGUACUUUCAGCGUGUGGGCGUUACCCGCAGAAGAAGCACCUGCUAACUCCGUGCCAGCAGCCGCGGUAAUAC
rnacentral:rRNA from 1 species